rnacentral:rRNA from 1 species
ACGCUCGACACCUACGGAGGCAGCAGUCGGGAAUAUUGCGCAAUGGAGGAAACUCUGACGCAGUGACGCCGCGUAUAGGAAGAAGGUUUUCGGAUUGUAAACUAUUGUCGUUAGGGAAGAAAAAGGACAGUACCUAAGGAGGAAGCUCCGGCUAACUACGUGCCAGAGCCGCGGUAAUCUGAGCGGGCUGGCAAGGC